ACAGGGAACCUAUUGAUGCAAAAUUCAGACUUCCUGAACCAAUGAAUAUGCCAAUCUUGAGUGCUGUUCCAACUAUUAUUUCUCAUCAUCUCCAUCCAAAUGAUUCUUUCCUUAUAUUUGCAUCUGAUGGUCUAUGGGAACACUUGAGUAAUGAGAAGGCUGUGGUCCACAGUCAUCCACAAGCAGGACUGGUAGAAGAGUUUCGCAUCCCAAAGAGAGAAAAUUCAAACUUUAACUGAUAAUCAUGCUACAUGCUAUCUGAGGUACAUUCUCAUUGUCUUGGAGGGCAGCCCACUAGAAUGGCCUUGCCCCUUGAAAUGGCAGAGGAACCUGUUUAUGUGAAUGCCACUGGAUUAAUACAAGAU